GAUGAAGAACGCAGCGAAAUGCGAUAAGUAAUGUGAAUUGCAGAAUUCAGUGAAUCAUCGAAUCUUUGAACGCACAUUGCGCCCGUCAGUAUUCUGGCGGGCAUGCCUGUUCGAGCGUCAUUACGCCCCUCAAGUCCCCUGUGGACUUGGUGUUGGGGAUCGGCGAGGCUGGUUUUCCAGCACAGCCGUCCCUUAAAUUAAUUGGCGGUCUCGCCGUGGCCCUCCUCUGCGCAGUAGUAAAACACUCGCAACAGGAGCCCGGCGCGGUCCACUGCCGUAAAACCCCCCAACUUUCUAUAGUUGACCUCGAAUCAGGUAGGACUACCCGCUGAACUUAAGCAUAUCAAUAAGCGGAGGA
rnacentral:misc_RNA from 1 species